UGAGUUAACUGCCAGAUAAUAUGUUGCAAAAAUAGAAAACAUAUGUGCAUUACUUGUAGCUUCUAGAUCGGCAGUGUCAGAAGCUGAAAAGGUAGAGGUUUUUUGGCCGGUCUUUCGUCGGACUUUAAUGCUGUGUUGUCCUUAGCCUCAUUCUUGACGGAGGUUCUUUCUUUCCAGCGUUUGGUCGAUGUUCUCCUAGAGAUUGAGAGUCGCCAGACGCGGGUGGCGC
rnacentral:lncRNA from 1 species